AGCCCCGUACACAAAAGCGCAUGUGCUGUGAGCUCGAUGAGUAGGGCGGGACACGUGGUAUCCUGUCUGAAUAUGGGGGGACCAUCCUCCAAGGCUAAAUACUCCUGACUGACCGAUAGUGAACCAGUACCGUGAGGGAAAGGCGAAAAGAACCCCGGCGAGGGGAGUGAAAAAGAACCUGAAACCGUGUACGUACAAGCAGUGGGAGCACAGGUUUACCUGUGUGACUGCGUACCUUUUGUAUAAUGGGUCAGCGACUUAUAUUCUGUAGCAAGGUUAACCGAAUAGGGGAGCCGGAGGGAAACCGAGUCUUAAUUGGGCGUUAAGUUGCAGGGUAUAGACCCGAAACCCGGUGAUCUAGCCAUGGGCAGGUUGAAGGUUGGGUAACACUAACUGGAGGACCGAACCGACUAAUGUUGAAAAAUUAGCGGAUGACCUGUGGCUGGGGGUGAAAGGCCAAUCAAACCGGGAGAUAGCUGGUUCUCCCCGAAAGCUAUUUAGGUAGCGCCUCGUGAAUUCAUCUCCGGGGGUAGAGCACUGUUUCGGCUAGGGGGCCAUCCCGGCUUACCAACCCGAUGCAAACUGCGAAUACCGGAGAAUGUUAUCACGGGAGACACACGGCGGGUGCUAACGUCCGUCGUGAAGAGGGAAACAACCCAGACCGCCAGCUAAGGUCCCAAAGUCAUGGUUAAGUGGGAAACGAUGUGGGAAGGCCCAGACAGCCAGGAUGUUGGCUUAGAAGCAGCCAUCAUUUAAAGAAAGCGUAAUAGCUCACUGGUCGAGUCGGCCUGCGCGGAAGAUGUAACGGGGCUAAACCAU
rnacentral:rRNA from 1 species